GACGAACGCUGGCGGCGUGCCUAAGACAUGCAAGUCGAGCGGAUCACUUCGGUGGUUAGCGGCGGACGGGUGAGUAACACGUGGAUAACCUACCUUGCUGACGGGGAUAACAGGCCGAACGGCCUGCUAAUACCGGGUAAGCUCACGGGGCCGAAUGGUCCUGGGAGAAGAGGCGCUGCACGGCGCUGCGGUGAGAGGGGUCCGCGGCCCAUUAGCUAGUUGGCGGGGUAAAGGCCCACCAAGGCGACGAUGGGUAGCCGGCCUGAGAGGGCGAACGGCCACACUGGGACUGAGACACGGCCCAGACUCCUACGGGAGGCAGCAGUCGGGAAUUUUGCACAAUGGCCGAAAGGCUGAUGCAGCAACGCCGCGUGAGUGAAGAAGGCCUUCGGGUUGUAAAGCUCUGUUGCCCGUGACGAACGGCCGGCUCAGGAAAUGGGGCUGGUUUGACGGUAGCGGGAGAGGAAGCCCCGGCUAACUUCGUGCCAGCAGCCGCCGUAACAC
rnacentral:rRNA from 1 species